rnacentral:rRNA from 1 species
GCAAGUAGAACGGUCUUCGGGUUAGUGGCGGACGGGUGAGUAACGCGUGAGAAUCUGCCCUCAGGAGGGGGAUAACGGCUGGAAACGGCCGCUAAUACCCCAUAUGCCGAGAGGUGAAAUGAAUUUCGCCUGAGGAUGAGCUCGCGUCUGAUUAGCUAGUUGGUGAGGUAAGGGCUCACCAAGGCUUCGAUCAGUAGCUGGUCUGAGAGGAUGAUCAGCCACACUGGGACUGAGACACGGCCCAGACUCCUACGGGAGGCAGCAGUGGGGAAUUUUCCGCAAUGGGCGAAAGCCUGACGGAGCAACGCCGCGUGAGGGAUGAAGGCCUCUGGGCUGUAAACCUCUUUUAUCAAGGAAGAAGAUCUGACGGUACUUGAUGAAUAAGCCACGGCUAAUUCCGUGCCAGCAGCCGCGGUAAUACGGGAGUGGCAAGCGUUAUCCGGAAUUAUUGGGCGUAAAGCGUCCGCAGGCGGUUUUGAAAGUCUGUUGUUAAAGCGUGGAGCUUAACUCCAUUUCAGCAAUGGAAACUGCAAGACUAGAGUGUGGUAGGGGCAGAGGGAAUUCCCCGUGUAGCGGUGAAAUGCGUAGAUAUGGGGAAGAACACCAGUGGCGAAGGCGCUCUGCUGGGACAUAACUGACGCUCAUGGACGAAAGCCAGGGGAGCGAAAGGGAUUAGAUACCCCUGUAGUCCUGGCCGUAAACGAUGAACACUAGGUGUCGGGGGAAUCGACCCCCUCGGUGUCGUAGCCCACGCGUUAAGUGUUCCGCCUGGAGAGUACGCACGCAAGUGUGAA